CACGUAGGGGGCAAGCGUUGUCCGGAUUUAUUGGGCGUAAAGAGCUCGUAGGUGGUUCGGUAAGUCGGGUGUUAAACCCCCAGGCUCAACCUGGGGACGCCACUCGAUACUGCUGUGACUAGAGUCCGGUAGGGGAGACUGGAAUUCCUGGUGUAGCGGUGAAAUGCGCAGAUAUCAGGAGGAACACCGGUGGCGAAGGCGGGUCUCUGGGCCGUAACUGACGCUGAGGAGCGAAAGCGUGGGGAGCGAACAGG
rnacentral:rRNA from 1 species